CAGCCGCCGCGGUAAAACCAGCACCUCAAGUGGUCAGGAUGAUUAUUGGGCCUAAAGCAUCCGUAGCCGGCUCUGUAAGUUUUCGGUUAAAUCUGUACGCUUAACGUACAGGCUGCCGGGAAUACUGCAAAGCUAGGGAGUGGGAGAGGUAGACGGUACUCGGUAGGAAGGGGUAAAAUCCUUUGAUCUAUUGAUGACCACCUGUGGCGAAGGCGGUCUACCAGAACACGUCCGACGGUGAGGGAUGAAAGCUGGGGGAGCAAACCGGAUUAGAUACCCGGGUAGUCCCAGCUGUAAACUAUGCAAACUCAGUGAUGCAUUGGCUUGUGGCCAAUGCAGUGCUGCAGGGAAGCCGUUAAGUUUGCCGCCUGGGAAGUACGUACGCAAGUAUGAAACUUAAAGGAAUUGGCGGGGGAGCAC
rnacentral:rRNA from 2 species